UUAGAAAGGAGAAAGCUUAUAUUACCAUGGAGAGAGGCAAAGUGAUUAUGCUUGUGAUGGUCAUCCUUCCAUGCCUCAUCAUAUUUUCCCAGGGUGAGUACCCAACAAUAAUUAGUUGAACUUCUCGUAAAGAUAUUGGUUAGUUCUAUAUCAUUUUGGGAAAAAUCCCAUUGAGAACCAUCACUAAGUUAUUUUGAAAUUUUGUAUAAAUUUUUGUAAUACUUAAUUGAAUGAGAACACACUUAUUUGCAUAUGCAGCUCAAGCAACUGAUCAGGUGGAUAGCGGCAAGAUCAAGUUAUGCAUAUGCCCAGAGAAAGAUCCACCAUGCCCAAAUGGUUUGUGCUUCUGUUGUGCACCGGAGCAAGAACGUUGCUUUAGGACUAGGAAAUAAUGCAUUUGUGAACCUGGUUGCCACCA
rnacentral:lncRNA from 1 species